UUGUAAGCUCUGACUCCUGGCCCAGUGAUCUUUUUUCUGGGUCCAUUACGAUAUCUGUUGCCUUCUUAAAAAAGUUAGCUCUUGGCUUUGGAGGCCUUACCAUGGACUGAUGUUCCUCCUUAUACAGUUGGACAAGUUUGGCUGGCAGGAACCUUUGGCUGACUGCAAAAUUUUGGUGGUGAUCAAGACUUGGAAUUUGACUGGAGACCUGAUGAACCUGAAGAAUGCGCCCUGGGAACCCGGGAGGAUGACUUCCUGGGUUUUCCUCUGGCAGAUCUAGCAUGAUUUUUACUGCCUUUGCUCUGAAGCUGUUAAGCAAGUGCUACAUCUAAUGCCCAACCGAGGCGGAGCUCUUCAACAGGAAGUAUGUGGGACGCCUUAUCUGAAGAGAAACCACUCCCUUUGAAGGAAAGCUGGGGCCCUCCUGGUCUGGUGUUCCCAGCUAAGGAAGAGCCAAGCAGACAGCCCUCAAUUCUAGCCUGAGACAGCCAUGUCACAUGGUUCGUUGGGCAUGCCACUCCUUUUUAGAGGCCUGGGAAGAGGAACAAGGGAUCAGUUUGCUCCAGGUCAGAGGAAAGGCAAAUGCUGAAGUUCCAGACCUUCCGAAGCAGAGCCCUGGAUGGUAUCCAUCCUACUCUCAGAGGACAGGACCUUUGCUUUCUUCCAGACCUUCCUGUAAGUCCACUGCUUAGGUGAGCAUUUUGAAGCAUCAUCGCUUAUAUUGCAAUAUGAAGACCACAACGUGACCUGAGAAAACCGAGCACAAAAUUUAACUUACUGACAUCUUUUAAAAAUUACUGGUCCUGGUCAUGUUUUUAUCUGGUGUGUCUUGCUGUUCCAGUGGAUAUAGUUUAAGGAAUGAAUGCGGUUCAGUGAUAUGUUCUCUUCCUCUCUCACGCUUCUCUCUCCUCCUGCUAAUCGUGAGGGUGCACACAUGUGCGUGCACACACCUGCGUGCUUACUUAAUUUAUGUGUCUCCAGUUAUUACACCCUGCACUGCUACCGUCUCGGAAGCAGCGUGGAGUAACAACGAUCGUGAGGCUUCGACUCCAAAGGCCAGAGGAUGAACUCUGGCUCCACUGACCUGCUGGGCGGCCUGAAGCAACUCAAGUCUAAACCUUCCUGUUUACUCAGUUUAUUAGUUUCCUAUUGGUACUGGACUAUGUUACCACAAACUUAUUGGCAUAAAAUAAUACAUGUUUACUCUCCUAGAAUGCUGGAGGUCAGAAGUCUGCAAUCAACUUCAUUGGGCUGCACUCACAUGUUGGCAGGGCCAUGAUCCUUCUGGGGCUCUAGCAGGGAAUCUGUUUGUUUGCUUUUUCCAACUUCUAAAAGCCAUUUUUUUUUUUUUUUGCAUUUGGCCCCCUCCUCCCCUUUCAAAGGCAGCAGCGUAAUAUCUUGCUUCAGUGGUUACGUUGCCUUUUUUCCUGUCGACUUUCCCUCUGUCUCCUUUUUACAACAACAUCUGUGAUUGCAUUUAGUGUCCCCCCAGAUAGUCCAGCUUCAUUUCAAGACCUUUACCUUAACCACAUCUGUAAGAGCUCUUUUUUCAUAUAAGGUAACAUGCACAGGUUCCAGGGAUCAGGGCCUGGACCUCUUUGUGGUGGGGCAUUAUUCAGCCUAGCACACUCAUUAAGUAAAGAUAGUAAUUCCUAUCCUAAAGGACACAGAAAUGAAAAGAGGAAUAUUUGUGAAAAUGUACAUAAUGGAAUUUAAUAAGUGUCCCUGAGUCUAGAAGAGGGAGGAGCUGACCUCCCAUUGGCCAGUCUCUAUCCCGAUGGACACAAUAAAGAAUGACAGAGCCAGGGCUGAUGUGGGCUGGAGCUUGUUCAAGGGUUGAGCUGGCUACAGGUACCAGUGGUCUUGGCUAUAGAAUGACUCCAGGAGCAAGGCUCGGAGGAAGGUGGAAGAUGCUUCAAGAAAGGGACCCAGGGGCUCGUGACCAGGGAAGGCAAAGCUCUCUGACCUUGCUUGAGUGUCAUGUGGAUUCACAUUGCCUAAGUGGGAAGAUUAUUAUUUUUAUUGCUUAGAGAUUUGACAGUAACUGGCUCAUAAUGCUGGGAGGUGUUGGGCUCAAGACCCCAUCAAGAGUCUUAAUGCAUUUGAGGAGGGUAUAGCUCAGUGGUAGAGCACAUGCCUAGCAUGCACGAGGUCCUGAUUUGAAGCCCCAGUACCUCCAUUAAAUAAAUAGAUGAAUAAAUCCAAUUACUCCCUCCCCCCAAAACCCAAAAAAUUAAUUAAAAAAUAAAUAAACAUAAAUAAAUAAAAAAAAGAGUCCUAUUGCAUUUGGGACCCCAGCUUUAGCCACAGCAACAAAUAUCUCCUUUCUCUUUCUUGAUCCGUCUGUUCACCAGGCAGUUAUGAUGUUAUUACACGGGAAAAGAAGACACACAAACAUCCUUUGUUUUCAAGAAGGCAGUGUGGUCAGGUGCCCAGUAGGCUGUUAAUCUCCAUCUAAUCCCUCUUCCCCAUGAAGUUUCAUUAUCCUGGGGAAUGAGAUUGCCUCACAGCAUCCUUAGGGCACGAGGCUCGGGGCCAGUGGGUGCAGCCACUUCCCUGGAAUUGUCACCAUCCUCCAGCCUCUGGGGGAGAGCGGCCGAUGCUCAGACAUGGAGAUGUGUUGGGAAUUCCACGGGAGCAGCCAGGAGGCCCACGGUCUCUGCAGGUAACUCCUGGCAGGGGAAGCGAAGAGAGGGAGCAAGGGUUGGAGAGGGGCUCUCGUAGGGGAAGUCACAGGUCCUCAAAGUCCAGUCACGAGGUGAGGAAUUACAGUUAAGCGCCUGCCUGAUGCACCUGUGAAUUCAUAUCACAGGGGCUUGAUACAGUCUUCACUGUUUAAUUGCCCGAGACCAGCUGAUGCUUUUCCGGUAAGAGAGCAAGACGAGGUGAGAUCACAUCCGCCCCGUGUGGCUCGUCCUCCCUGCACGUGCUUUCCCAGCUGUCCCUCCUUCGACUCUCUUGUUAACUCAGUGGGUGGCUGAGAUGUAACUGCAGAGGUCUUACUCUCCACUUCACAGGAACUGGGCCAGGAGGGCCUGAGUGGCUUCUCAGAGCCACACAACACAGCCCGAGGCCAGGGCUCUGUGCGUCACCCCAAGAACCAGGAGCUAGCCUGCUUCUCACCUCUCUUCUGGAUUUCUUCACUCCGAAGAUGGCAUUUGAUGUUCCUCAGAAGCAUCUUGCUGAGGUAGAGGGUGACUACCACCCCAGUUUGCUCAGGACUGAGGCAUUUCCUGGGCUGUGGGAUUUGCAACUAAAACUGGGCAGAUUGUGAUGAGUUGGUCACCCUUUGUAAGGCCUCCCACAAUCACCCUGUCACCUGUCCAGAGGGAGCUUGGGGGAGAGUGGCUGUGUCUGGCCUGCAUUUUCCAGUAGCUGCACAGCCCUUGUGUCUGUCAAGGUCCGACUGGGCAAAUAGAAGACCUUCUAAGUACUUAAGAUGGGAAUAAACAUAAUACAGGGAAUUGGGGGGAGGGGCGAUGAGAAGUCAAAUAGGGAACAGUCAGACAACUCAAAGGUUAACAACAACAAUGUGCCAUGACCACCCCUUGGCGGCAGGGACAAAGGGAGGAGGUAAAGCUGCUGGCUCCGGGGGUUGGGGUCACCCUUGAAGUUGGAGCCAUGGUGGCCUGAUCUGUGGGAGCUGGAGCCACCAGAGGAGGGAGGAGGUGCUGCUGCUGGGCAGAGGGAAGGUCAUGUACUGGCUGCACCCCACCUCGCGCCCUCUGUCUCACAGCAGGAGUUUCUCCUCUUUUUUGGAAGGUCCAGGGGGUGGGGACAUUGGCCAGGCAGGAGAACUUUCCUCAUGCCUGGGUUGCCCAUCCUGGGGAGAUCCCGGACUUCUUUAUGUGUCAGCUUCAGUGCUGACGCGUGCAUUUGGAAACAGUCCCAUGUGACAAUCAGCUACUUUAAUCAAAGAAGCUCAGAAUCAUCAAACAUUUAAGCUGAAAGGUAUCUCCAAGAUCACCCGCUCAGACGCGGAGCAGAAGCCUGGACUGCUGACGGGGGUGUGGUGCCAGUUUCAGGACCAAAACAAGGUCCAUCCACUGGUCAGGCUAGGGCAGCUUCGGCCACAGGCUGCCUCUGCCCUCAGGACCACUGGGGCAGGAGGCUGUGGUCCCACUGCACAGGCGCUGAUGGAGUGAGCCAGAUCCAGCCCUUCACAGUGACAGUGGGGACAUCAGCAUGAGACUCCUGCCUCUAGGAGGUUAAUGAUUGUAAUUGCAAAAGCUUUAUUGCAAGAGAAGGAAAACUUUCAGAGAAAGAAGUAAUGGCUAGAUGUUCCGAUUCCACCUUUAUCCAGAUCAACGACAGGAUGAUUUCAUGGAUGGCUUACUUCACUUAGAAUGACAUUAUCCAGGAGCAUCCAUGUUGCUGCAAAUGGCAUUAUGUUGUCGGUUUUUAUGGCUGAGUAGUAUUCUAUUGUAUAAAUAUACCACAUCUUCUUUAUCCAGUCUUCCGUUGAUGGACAUUUAGGCUGUUUCCAUGUCUUGGCUAUUGUAAAUAGUGCUGCUAGAUUUAGAUGAAUUGAAAAUGUUUUCUUCUGUUUUGUUCCUGAACAAUAUUACGUUGCUUCUGUAAACUCUAUAUCUCACAUACAUAAUAUGUGUGUUUAUUUAACAAAUAUUUAUUGUGUUCCUACCAUUCUGUCAUUCCACAAAUGUUUAUUAGAUCCUUAAUAUUGAGUGAGGCACUGUGCCAGUGAUGAAUGAAGUGGGCAUGACUGGCAUUCUCUCCAGGCUCACUGUGUCCCAGGUCUUGGGGAGAGCACCCCCUCUGUCUUUACUCUCUCCCCGCCCUCCCUUCCUCGUUUCCCAAGCCCUGCUGCCCUGGGAGGCUCAAGGCUAGGGGGUGAACGGUAAUAGAUGGUGCUUCUUCCACAUUUGCCUCUGCCUGCUCUUGCAGAAUCUCCAACCUCUCUGCAAAGACAACUUCCAAUAAUUUAUUGAUACAUCACAGGAAGUAUAACUUUAAAAGAUUCUUCCUUAGCUGAAUUUAACUCCUAUCUUGAGCCCCCAUGUUGCCAUGUCAUCUUAGGGUUUCCAUAUUUUCCCUUGGUUGUAUAUGUUCCAAAGGGCUCUGAUGUGCCAAGAUAUGCUUGGAGGUCCCUCUGGUCCUUGCUGAUGUCCAUGGAGUUGUCCAUGGUCAUUAGUCCACACAGGUUGCUAAGGGUCCCUCCCCUGCCGGAAGCUCUGUGCAGUCCGUUGGCUGUGUGUUUUCUGUCUGCACUUGGGUGCAUAGUCACCUGCUGCUGCUUCUGCCCCACAGUGGGGGUCAAAGUCCCUUCACUUGGCAAUUUUUCCUACUCUGGAGCCUUGGCCCUGCUUAUUGGAUGUUACCUGAGCAAAGAGGCCCAGGACACCCCUGCUAUCAGAUUCCACAUGGAGACUGGCCCAGCAUUUGGCCUGGGGAGAGAAUGGAGGGCCUGCUCAUUGGGACCCACCAGCACCUGAGACCCAUUGCCUCCUUUUGGUCCUCUUUCUCCCCCGAUUCCAAGGGAACUUUAUCUAGACUGGAACACGUGUUCACCAGGGUGCUUUUUCCAGUCUGUCACCUGGGGCUGAUCUUGGUCCUUUCCAUGUCCCUUGGAAACUCAAAAACGAGAAGCUAUUCUGUUAUCACAUGCCUUUGCUGAGGCAGUGGCAUCAGAUGGCUUGGCUGCUACCUCUAGGUUGGAGGAAAGAAGACAAGACCAAGGAUACGGGGAAAUUGUGAAUAAGACCAUUGUUUGUUACUUCAGUAACACUGUCCUCCUGUGUGAUACAUAUACUUAUAUGUGGAUAACUAAAAUUCUAGAAGGUCUAACUACCUAAUUAUAAAUGAUGACCUCUGUUCAUAGAUUAUGAGUGAUUUCUGUUUUCUUUAAAAAUUAUCUAUAUUUUAAAAUUAUACACGUUUUUGUUAGAUGAUUUUCAUCCAUAUCCAUGGCUUUAAAUACCAUCUAUAAUGUGCUAAUAAAGCUAAUAUUUAUGUCUAUAGCCUAAACCCCUCCUCUGGGCUCCAACUACCCAGAUGUGG